rnacentral:rRNA from 1 species
UACGUAGGGUGCGAGCGUUAAUCGGAAUUACUGGGCGUAAAGCGUGCGCAGGCGGUUUUGUAAGUCUGUCGUGAAAGCCCCGGGCUCAACCUGGGAAUUGCGAUGGAGACUGCAAGGCUUGAAUCUGGCAGAGGGGGGUAGAAUUCCACGUGUAGCAGUGAAAUGCGUAGAGAUGUGGAGGAACACCGAUGGCGAAGGCAGCCCCCUGGGUCAAGAUUGACGCUCAUGCACGAAAGCGUGGGGAGCAAACAGG